AUGCAUCUAUCUAGUUAUCAAUUAAAAGGAUUUUGCCACAAAAAUGAAACGCAAAAAAUUCUUUUAAAUAACCGACUUCUUGUUGAUCAUUAAAAAAUUUAGAAACACGUACCGUCCACUCGUAACGACACAUUCAAUUUUAGUUUGACUUGCAUAAAAUUGAGGUAUGAGGUAUGUGUUUAUUAUACGAGAAAUAUAUUGUAUAAUAAUAAUAGAUUUAUUGCCAUCAAUAAAUAAUACAUGGCGCGUCAUAUAAUUAUGUACAUGUAAGUGUAUAUGGGACAAUACAUACAUUUAUUUUAAAUCUGGAGGGUUAUCCAGGAACUCUUGGAUAGAAUAAUAACUCAUUUCUAAUAGUGCGUCCUUUACCUUCUUCUCAAACAGAGCCGGAGCUAGUCUCUUCAUCGGGUCCUGAAGCUUGUUAUAAAGCUUCGGGCCCCAAUGGUCAAUGCUGUGCUGUGACACUUUAAGCCGAUGGUACGGUGUUGAGAGCGCGUCAGCGUGUCUUGUGUUAUGCUCGUGAUAUGAGCCAUUCUUGAUGAACUCGUGGAGGUGGUUGUGGACGUACCUCAGACAGCUCAAUAUGUACGCGGAAGGGAUGGUAAGAAUUUGUUGUUGUUUGAAGGCUGGGCGGCAGCUUUCCCGAUAGUUCAUUUGGCACAGGAUUCUGAUUGCUUUCUUUUGCAGGACGAAGAUCUUGUCAGCAUCUGAUGAAGUACCCCAUAGAAGUAUACCAUAGGUGGCUUUGCUGUGGAAGUUAGCAAAGUAUGUCACCCUUGCAGCUUGGGGAGUUGAGAUAUUCUUGAUUCUUCUGAUACUGAAUAAAGCUGAUGCUAGGUUUUUGCAGGUUUCCUGAAUGUGGUCCUUCCAAGAUGCUUUGCUAUUUAGGUAAAAUCCCAAGAAUUUUACCGAUGUGACGUUGGUGGGUUUUGAAGAUAUAAAUAGUUCCUGAGUCUUGUCUCCAUUGAGUUUCAGUUUAUUUGCUGUGAACCAUUCAUUGGCAUCUUCAAGGAUUUUUCUCAUUUUUGGUUUUAGCGUAUCCUCUGUUUCUUCUUUGAUGCAGAAGGAAGUGUCGUCCGCAUAUAGACACUGUCCAUCCACUCUCAUAUUGAUAGGCAAGUCAUUUACAUAGAUUAUAAAUAGCAGUGGACCGAGGAUUGAUCCCUGGGGCACUCCACACCUUGUUGGCAGAGGCUUUGACCAUUUUUCAUUCCAUUUUACUAUCUGGGUUCUAUUUUCAAGGGAAGAAUUUGUCAAAGGCAGCUGUCAGAGUUGUAUGGAAGACAGUGUAGGCCUCUUUUGCAUUACGGUGUUUGAAGACACGAGCCCACUCAAUUCCGGUUAAGUACUCCUUAAAGUAGUUCUUGCACUGGGUUCUUAAUCUUCAGGACUUGACAGUAGUGAUCAGACAUGCACCAACUUUUUGUCUCUUUUGAGAAGAUUUCUUCUAUGUUAAUAUUUGAAAAUAUAUUAUCUAUGCAGCUAGAAGAAGUUUCAGUUGUUCUAGAUGCCUCUCUCAUUAGUGGUUGCAUACCAUAUGUUGGCGGAAAACAA